UGGAUUAUUAUUUUAUUCUCAUUUUUUUCCAUCCACUUUUCAUUCUCUCUUCUCUCUCUUUGUUUACUUCAUCUUUCUUUUUUAUCUCAACAUUCUCUCUUCUUUCUUCCCUAACCUCUUGCUUAAAGAUUCAAUCUUUAUGCUGUGUUUCAUCUUAAACAUGAUUUUUUAGAAAAUCUGGACUAUAAUGAGAUGGAACAAAAAUUUUCAGAUCUGAAAUUAUACGAUAUAAAAUUGAAGGUGAGUUGUUACUAUGUGUUUAUUUUUCUAAUUCUUUUUCGUGUUUGUGUUUUGGAGCAGGACACCGCGGCUGGGAUUUCGAGCGAAUGAAGGUGUGUGAGCGAUAUCGGCAUGAAAGAGUUUUGGAUCAGAUCUUCUGCUUCCUCCUUCUGUUUGUUCUUGAUCUUUUAUUUUUUGCAAAAAAACUUGAACUAUAAUAAUGUUGAGAAUUUGAUAUUUGGUAUUGUUUGAUCUUAUAUUAUUAGUGUGGGUUAAUGUUGUUUUGAUUGAAGUUAAUUGUCAUGAUUGUUAUAAGAUUCAUGGAGAUCUUGAAUAAAAUUUACAGGUUUGUGAAA